CAGUAGCCACGGUAAUACGUAGGUGGCAAGCGCUGUCCGGAAUUAUCGGGCGUAAAGGGCUCGCAGGCGGUUUCUUAAGUCUGAUGUGAAAGCCCCCGGCUCAACCGGGGAGGGUCAUUGGAAACUGGGAAACUUGAGUGCAGAAGAGGAGAGUGGAAUUCCACGUGUAGCGGUGAAAUGCGUAGAGAUGUGGAGGAACACCAGUGGCGAAGGCGACUCUCUGGUCUGUAACUGACGCUGAGGAGCGAAAGCGUGGGGAGCGAACAGGAUUAGAUACCCCUGUAGUCCCGUCUCUUAUACC
rnacentral:rRNA from 1 species